GAUGAAGAACGUAGUGAAAUGCGAUAAGUAAUGUGAAUUGCAGAAUUCAGUGAAUCAUCGAAUCUUUGAACGCACCUUGCACCCUUUGGCAUUCCGAAGGGUAUGCUCGUUUGAGUGUCAUUGUACUCUCACUCUCCCGAUACUUUUGGAUCGGGAGUGGUGGACUUGGGUGCUGCUGCUUAACUGUGGCUCGCCUUAAAUGAAGUAGUGCAACUCUCGGUUGGACAUAGUACGGCGUGAUAAGUGUCUUCGCCGGCGCCUCAUUCGAGGGUGGCCGAUCGGGAGCUCUGUGCUUCAAACUGUCUUCGGACAACAUUUGACAACUUGACCUCAAAUCGAGUAGGACUACCCGCUGAACUUAAGCAUAUCAAUAAGCGGAGGA
rnacentral:misc_RNA from 1 species